rnacentral:rRNA from 1 species
GGUUUAUUGGUUUUUUUUUAAAUUAGUCCUGCCCAAUGAUUUAUUUAAUGGCUGCGGAAUUUUAACCGUGCGAAGGUAGCAUAAUCAUUUGUCUUUUAAUUGGAGGCUGGAAUAAAUGGAUAGAUAAGAAAUUAACUUUAUUAAUUUUAAAGUUUGAAUUUAAUUUUAAAGUUAAAAAGCUUUAAUAUAUUUAAAGGACGAGAAGACCCUAUAGAACUUUAUUAUAUUAGAAUUAAUUUAUUAAUUUGAAAUUAGUUUUUAUAUAAUUAUAUUGGGGUAAUUGAGAAAUUUAUUUAAUUUUCUUUGUAUAUUUCAAUAAUUUUUGAUUUUUUGAUCCUAUUUUUAGAUUAGAGAUAAAGUUACCUUAGGGAUAACAGCGUUAUUUAGUUGGAGAGUUCAUAUUGAUAAUUAAGAUUGCGACCUCGAUGUUGAAUUAAAAUUUAAAUUGAAUGCAGUAGUUCAAUUUUUUGGUCUGUUCGACCAUUAAAGUUUUACA